CAAAAUAAAUGGAGUUUUACAAGUUGGAGAGAGAUAGACACACAAAAUAGAUGGUAUGUCCUACCACUAAGUGGGUCCCACAAAAGAAAUGGAGAAACACAUAAAUGGAGACCCAUUCUAACCACCCACCAGCCACCACUUCCUCUUCUCUCUCACCCCUCACUCUUGGAUCUGUGGAUUUGUGUUCGGAUCUGAAGAUUAUUUGUUUUUUAUUUGGUCUUCUUUGUCAAGUAUGUCGGAUGGAGAUGGAGUUGUUGAUAUCAAGGAUGGAGUUCGUGAUCUCGUGUUAGAGGACGUCGAGAAUGUAGUUGGGGAUGGAGUGAAUGCAGAGUAUUUUCCCCCUGUAAUCACACGAGAAAUGAGGGUGAUGUUAACUCCUCCCCUUGUAUUCUCACCAGAAUUGAGGGAGACGUUUUCUCGUCAUUGGUUCGAGAAGGGAAUGGAAGGUGGUAGUCCACCUUCACUGGCCUUUUUUAUACGAAAUGGACUUGGUCAAAUUUUCGACAUAGCUCAAGAUUGUUUUAACCGAGGUUCUUUCCAAGCCUCCAAUUCUGCAUCCGGUCAUGUUGCUGCUUCUACUCGUGCCACUACUGAUUGAAUGGUGGACUAUUAAUUAUGUUUUUCAUUAUGUCGCUAUUUGCUAUUUUGUGCUCAUUGUAUAAUAUUAUGUGUUUAUGGACUUAAUCCUCGGACAAUAAUGAAAAAAAAAAAAAAAAAGUAUUUUAUGUGUGUUACAUUUAGAUGUAAUUUUCGCAAAUACCAUCCUUAUGCUAUUUGUACUAUUAUUAAUGGUUG